rnacentral:tRNA from 1 species
GGGCCUAUAGCUCAGCUGGGUGAGAGCGCACGCCUGAUAAGCGUGAGGUCCCUGGUUCAAGCCCAGGUAGGCCCA